UACGGGGGGGGCAAGCGUUGUUCGGAAUUACUGGGCGUAAAGGGCUCGUAGGCGGCCAACUAAGUCAGACGUGAAAUCCCUCGGCUUAACCGGGGAACUGCGUCUGACACUGGAUGGCUUGAGUUUGGGAGAGGGAUGCGGAAUUCCAGGUGUAGCGGUGAAAUGCGUAGAUAUCUGGAGGAACACCGGUGGCGAAGGCGGCAUCCUGGACCAACACUGACGCUGAGGCGCGAAAGCUAGGGGAGCAAACAGG
rnacentral:rRNA from 1 species